rnacentral:rRNA from 1 species
CCUACGGGAGGCAGCAGUGAGGAAUAUUGGUCAAUGGACGAGAGUCUGAACCAGCCAAGUAGCGUGAAGGAUGACUGCCCUAUGGGUUGUAAACUUCUUUUAUAUGGGAAUAAAACGUUCCACGUGUGGGAUUUUGUAUGUACCAUAUGAAUAAGGAUCGGCUAACUCCGGGCCAGCAGCCGCGGUAAUACGGAGGAUCCGAGCGUUAUCCGGAUUUAUUGGGUUUAAAGGGAGCGUAGGUGGAUUGUUAAGUCAGUUGUGAAAGUUUGCGGCUCAACCGUAAAAUUGCAGUUGAAACUGGCAGUCUUGAGUACAGUAGAGGUGGGCGGAAUUCGUGGUGUAGCGGUGAAAUGCUUAGAUAUCACGAAGAACUCCGAUUGCGAAGGCAGUUCACUGGACUGCAACUGACACUGAGGCUCGAAAGUGUGGGUAUCAAACAGGAUUAGAUACCCGAGUAGUC